UAGGGUGUAUUUCUUUCGUCUGUCCGGAACGCAUCCCGAACGUCCUAUUCGCACUGUACCAAUGAAAUGCACGAGGAUAUUCCGGGUAAACAUCAUGGCGGACAAUACAUUGAUUUUAUUUCUCGUCGCUGAACUGGAUGAUGACGAUGAGGAUAAUCAAAACACCUACGAUGCUGAAUCAAUUACCGCAAUAGUUGCUUCAUCAACUGCCCGCCAGGAGAAAAUUAAGAUAAGUGGAUACGUGGAUGAAGUAGUACCUCAGUACCUUUUGGAUGAUUUUAAACGUCUCUUUAGAGUGACAAGAACAACCUUUGAAACUAUUUGUGAAAAUAUUCAGAUGUAUCAAGUGCUUCUUCCAAGUUGGACAGGAGGCAGAGAGCAUAUACCUAUUUUCAAGCAACUUCUAAUCGUAUUAUGGUACGUUGCAAGCCAAGAAACACUAAACCGUAUUGCCGACAGAUUUGAUAUUGCUGAAGUUUCUGUGGUACGAUGUAGAAAUCGUGUUUUUUUAUGUUUUCUUGACUUACUUAAAAACAAAGUUCAUUACGUGGCCCCAAGAAGGAGUUCACAGGCAAGAAGUUUUAGAUGGUUUUGAAAGGAAAGCUAACUUCCCAGGUGUGUUAGGUGCUAUUGACGGUACACAUAUAAAAAUAAAAGCACCAAAGCAACACCCAGAGACAUAUGUCAAUCGAAAAGGGUACCACUCUGUGAUUUUGCAGGCAGUAUGUAGGGAAGAUAUGCGGUUCACACAUGUUGUUGCAGGUAGCGUUGGCAGUUGUCAUGAUGCAAGGGUGCUGAGAACAUCUGAUCUCUGGGAAAAUGGACCCGCGAGGUGUGGUGAUGCUCACAUUAUAGGGGAUGCUGCAUAUCCUCUCAGGAAUUGGCUAUUGACCCCUUACAGAGAUAAUGGACAUUUAACCCCAACUCAACGCCACUAUAAUACAUGCCUGUCAACUACCCGAGUAACAGUUGAGCGUGCAUUUGGUGUGUACAAAGGUAGAUUUCGAAGAUUACAAUAUGUAGACACUCACAAAGUUAAAACUGCUGUUGACUUAAUUAUUGUUUGCUGCAUUCUACACAAUAUUUGUAUUCUGAACGAAGAUGAAAUGAUAGACUACUUCGAAGAUGAUAAUGCGGUAAAUUAUAAUCCUCUGCCGAGAAAUCAGGCAGGUGGAAAUGCUGAAGCAAAUGCCAAACGCGAUAAUAUUGCAAACAGUCUUUGAACUUAAGAAGUGUUUGAACCUUUUUAAAGAUUUCUUUCUUGCCCGGGGGUGUCAUGUAAUUGCAAAAUAAUGUACUUUUAAAUUACAAAGACAUAAUUUUGUAACAUUUAUGUGUUGUUUGGAAAAACUCAUUAAAGCAUCAUUAAUCC
rnacentral:misc_RNA from 1 species